rnacentral:rRNA from 1 species
ACUCCUACGGGAGGCAGCAGUAGGGAAUCUUCCACAAUGGGCGCAAGCCUGAUGGAGCAACACCGCGUGAGUGAAGAAGGGUUUCGGCUCGUAAAGCUCUGUUGUUAAAGAAGAACACGUAUGAGAGUAACUGUUCAUACGUUGACGGUAUUUAACCAGAAAGUCACGGCUAACUACGUGCCAGCAGCCGCGGUAAUACGUAGGUGGCAAGCGUUAUCCGGAUUUAUUGGGCGUAAAGAGAGUGCAGGCGGUUUUCUAAGUCUGAUGUGAAAGCCUUCGGCUUAACCGGAGAAGUGCAUCGGAAACUGGAUAACUUGAGUGCAGAAGAGGGUAGUGGAACUCCAUGUGUAGCGGUGGAAUGCGUAGAUAUAUGGAAGAACACCAGUGGCGAAGGCGGCUACCUGGUCUGCAACUGGCGCUGAGACUCGAAAGCAUGGGUAGCGAACAGGAUUAGAUACCCCUGGUAGGAUAGCG